rnacentral:rRNA from 1 species
GUGAGGAAUAUUGGUCAAUGGGGGCAACCCUGAACCAGCGACGCCGCGUGAGGGAUGACGGGGCUUUGCCUUGUAAACCUCUGUCAGAAGGGAAAAGAAGGUUGUUUGGCGACCUGGGCUUGUACCUUCGGAGGAAGCACCGGCUAACUACGUGCCAGCAGCCGCGGUAAUACGUAGGGUGCAAACGUUGUCCGGAAUUACUGGGUGUAAAGGGUGCACAGGCGGUUUUGUGCGUCAGAGGUUAAAUGCCACGGCUCAACUGUGGACCUGCCUUUGAUACGGCAAGACUUGAGUGGAAGAGAGGAUGAUAGAACUCCUGGUGUAGCGGUGAAAUGCGUAGAUAUCACGCAGAACUCCGAUUGCGAAGGCAGCUUACUAAGCUACAACUGACACUGAAGCACGAAAGCGUGGGGAUCAAACAGGAUUAGAUACCCGUGUAGUCC